rfam:Triticum aestivum genome assembly, contig: Triticum_aestivum_CS42_TGACv1_scaffold_049517_1BS
UAGGUACUCCCUCCGUCCGGAAAUACUUGUCAGAGAAAUGGAUGAAAAUGGGUGUAUCUAGAACUAAAUUGUGUCUAGAUACAUUCAUUCCUUAGACAAGUAUUUUUUGGACGAAGGGAGUACUAA